ensembl:lncRNA
CCUUUUCCGGCCCGAGUACGAGCCUCAUUUUGUAAAACACGAAUACGGUCUGAAACACUUUGCAAAUUAUACCAGUUCUGUCGUGCCCAAUCCACCCCUGAUACAGAAGGCCGAGCACCAUGCUUUUCUAAAAGAUCAAAUAAUACAUCUUCACUUUUCAUACUGGCCAUACUGUUGCUCAUUUCUAAAUACGCAGAAAGAUAUACACUGAGAGAGGAGGAGGUACUCCUAUUCAAAAGUACAAAUAACUCCUUAUCGCCUCUCCCACAGAGGCACACCACACCUAAAGAAAUGUAAAUGUUCCGAUCGUGCCUCCCUUUGUUGAGGAAAGCACAAGGACAAAGAGGCUAAACCAACUUAAAAUCGCUCCCAACUUCCCUGCGAAGCCACACAAAAAACUGCAAACACCACACCAAAGCAAGGCACACUUCGGUUUCAAAACCCGCAGUUAAUUUUAAGCUAAAACAACACUUUCUAGGAUUCAACAAAGUGAAUAAACUUCUUGGAGAGGCGCACACGUUUUUUAAGUCAAAAAACGUGUAUCACUUCCUCACUUCUCCAAGAGGCACGCACGAAAGAGGUUCAAAUUUCACACUUAAGUUGCAAGAUCCUUAAGUCACAAAAUGCAGAGAGGUCUUCCCGAGGAGGCACACACGUAUUAAAUGCAAUUAGACAAGAUUCAUACGUCCUCGAGAGGUACACACAUAAAUAGUAAAGUUUCAGAGUAUGAAGCGAUCUUCCUGGAGAGGUGCUCACGUCUAAGUUAUCAAAAGUAUCGCUUCUUGCAACUCCAGGAGGUACACACAGAAAGUUUCAGACUAUUAUCUGGAAGGACAACACUCUCACGGCGGGUAUCCUGCUUCGACUACGCCAUAAAAAAAAUGUCUCGCUCCAAUUUAUAGGAGGGAGAAGAGGUUCUUUGAAAUAUGUAUGCCCGGCGUGAGAUUAAGAAACAGCGGUUCAAAUGUUGGUCCGACCAGUUUAUUACAAAUGUUAAUAAGGGAGAUGGGGAAAGGGGAGGACGGACGCUGUUAAGGAUUGGGGUGAUG